rnacentral:rRNA from 1 species
AACGAACGCUGGCGGCACGCUUAACACAUGCAAGUCAAGGGGAAAUGGCUUCGGCCUGAGUACACUGGCGCACGGGUGAGUAACGCGUGAGGAAUCUGCCCAUAAGACUGGGAUAACAUGCCGAAGGGUGUGCUAAUACUGGAUGUGUUUUACUGACGCAUGUUAAUAAAACAAAGGCGGGGCGACCUGCCGCUUAUGGAUGACCUCGCGUCCGAUUAGCUAGUUGGUGGGGUAAUAGCUCACCAAGGCUACGAUCGGUAGCCGGCCUGAGAGGGUGGCCGGCCACACUGGAACUGAGACACGGUCCACACUCCUACGGGAGGCAGCAGUGGGGAAUCUUGCGCAGUGGGGGCCACCCUGACGCAGCGAUGCCGCGUGAACAAAGAAGGCCUUCGGGUCGUAAAGUUCUUUCGCUGGGGAAGAAAGCUAUUCGUAGUAACUGACGGGUAGUUGACGGUACCCAGAUAAGCAGCCCCGGCUAACUCCGUGCCAGCAGCCGCGGUAAUACGGAGGGGGCAAGCGUUGUUCAGAAUUACUGGGCGUAAAGCGCGCGUAGGUGGUUUUGUAAGUCUGGGGUCAAAGGCGAC